rnacentral:pre_miRNA from 1 species
AAUGAGAGAAUGAAAAAUUAGAUUUUUCCUCCUGAUUUUCAGCUUUUUCCUUAUCAAAAAAUUCAAAUCAAACUAAGAACACUAAAAAUCAGGAGGAAAAAUCAUAAUAUCAGUCUCCCAUU